ACCUCAUCCAUGAGAAAAUCAAAACAAAUAAUAUACUCCUUAUAUAUGUAGAAGACAAGCUAUGGUUAACACCGUCGAGAACUCUUCGAAACCCAUUUGCACAUAACCAAGCCGUCAGAACUGAAUCUUUCUAGCUCCACCAAGUCACUCAAGUCACCAAGGUAAAGAUUAUUUCCCAAAACACUUGUAGAGUCUCACGACCAAAGGAACCGAUCACUUCUAUUACCAUACUGAUUCAAACCACUUCAAAGCUAACAUAUUGCUCCGAGUUCCUCUCAACUUGACUUCAGGUUAAUACUUCUCCUUGCCAAUACAGUAAGAACCCAAAUCUCACCACAAGAGAUCCUAGCAUGAAACCACGUCGCCUUAUGACCUAUAAGCCUUUGAAUUUCCUCUUAAGUACCCAAUAAUGCCACAACCAAAAUACCCGCUCUAAAGAGACCUUUUAUGAAUCUAAAAUUUUUUCCUUAAUCCCUCUAAUACUGAAAUGUAGAAUCUAUAAUGAUACAUAAAUACCGCAAUCCCAAUACCAUCCAAUGCAAAUCUUAGAUUUCUGCCAUAUACUGGUCCAGAAAUCCUCAACUACCGCGUAGAACCUCGAACUCAUUAGAAACUUCUCGAGAUUCAUCACCUCCACUCUAAUCUCCAAUGCACCACUAAUACGAGCCGAAUGACUUGUACUCCAUUAGCACACAAAAACCUCAAGAAAAUAAACCACAUCUCUAGGCAACCAAGUGAAUCACUACUCCAUGUAUAGCGCCUUCACUAUGAAUAACAAACCUAAAUCAUACCAUGAUUUCUGUAUGCGCAUAAAGUAUAGCACAUCAUGCAUAUAACAAUUCCCUUUCUGAAGUCAUCCUCAACACUAACCUCUUCAAGUUACAAUUGUUCCUCAAAUUUGCUUCAGAUUCAACUAAUAUAACACAUAACUAUGCAAUCCAAUCGUCAAUAGCAGACUUCUCCAUUUGGCUCGAAACCAUAGAUCACGACAUUCGGCAAUCACCCAAUGUCUGUUACAACCUAUAUUCACAUAUGUUAGUUCAUGCCAUAAGUUAGGUGAUGCAUAUCCAAGAUGAUAUUAUCUUUUAGAUGAUAAUUAGUUAAUCGUAUUGGUUUUAAAUUAUACAAGGGUGUGUAUGGGUCGUUAACAAAUAUUAUAAGUUAAUCGAAUCAAUGAUAUUGUAACCCGUAUUUUCAAGUAAACUUAGAGGUGCUUAAUAUACUUACGAGUAUGCGUUUUAAGGUAUUUGAAUCAUAUAAUAUCAGUGUCAUAAGUCUUGAAGUCAAAUGAAUUAUGAAACAAAAGUCGUUAAAUGUUGUCAUAACUUAGGUUCACAAUUUUACUUAAACUUUAGGUCAAAUAUUACUAAGAUUUUCUCCCAAUUUACUUGGAAUUAUGGGGUGAUCUACCCAUAAAACUGAAUAUCUAUGAGUAUAGUUUCUAACUCAUUAAACCGUUUGUCAAUAUGAUUUCGGAGAGAUAUAUUCACAUUUUCGAGAGUUUGUGCCAACCAGCUCUCUAUGGGACCCAUAUAGGCAGUUUAAGACAUAUGGAUUUAAUAAGAUGCCUUAACCCCAUUUCUAUUCAUUCAUUUUUCGUAUGUUCAGAGCAUAUAACCCUAAAAAUAGUCUCUCAAGUUUCUCUAAUGAUCCAAGACCCAAUAAAACACAGUCAACACAUAUCUAUUGUCGGGAAUCCUGUGGCGCAAAUAAGUUUCUUGUUCUUCUUGUUGUUGCUCAUUUUUGUGUUGUUCCAGAUCAUUUGGGAGGUUUUUAAAGUUUUUUAUGUUCUGUAAAUACUCCCUCAAGUUCUUAAUUUCAAACCUAGGUGAUUUCAAGUCAUCUAAAGUGACUCUAGUGCCGAAAAACCCUAAUUGGUCGCUAGUUUCGCUUCCUUGUUCUUCUGGUAGAAUUUGAGGGAUAUUUCAAUAAUUAAGGUCGAAUUGGAGUUGUUAUUUCUGUUUAAAGAUAAUGAACCUCUUACUCUACGAGUAUUUAAGAUUAUCCAAGUUGCGGCUAAGUCAUUGAAGCUAGAACUUGUGAAGUAUAUAUCGAAAAGCUUGGUAGUAAUGUUGAUGGUUGGUGGAUUGUUUUAAGAGGCUCAAUAUGAUUAUUAUUGAUGUUGUUUGGGCAGUUUGGUGAUUGUUUUGACUUGUAGGACACCAUAUAAAUAGGUUACAUGUUGUUUGUUUCAUUGUAAAAUAGGUUGCGGUCAAUACAUAAUAGUUACGAUUCUUAAACGAUAAAGAUAAUGUCAUUUCUCUUAUUGUAGACUAAGGAAUCAUGACAUUUGCAUAGCUUUAGGUUGGAUAGUAUAUACAAGGUAUGCGAGGCUAUCCCUUUCCUUCUUUUGCAUGACUCUGAUUGUACAUAUUUUGGUGAAUGAGCUUCCAAAGAUACUCUAGUUUUAGAAGCUAGCAGUACUUACAUUGUUUCUUCUUAUGGAGCGAUUGAUGUUGAUGUUGCUUCUCUUAUUCUUAUGUUAUCAACGUUAUUGGUACCUCCUGAUUCGUAUAAGAUUCAUGAUGAAAAGUUGGUCCUAAUAACAUGUGCAUAAGAUACCGACCUUACAUCAUUCCGAAGGGUUCAGAAUAUUAUUUCAAUGAGUCCAACAUGCAUUAUAUAUAUGUAUCUAUUUUACUAUACGGAGCCGUGCUAUAGACGGAGGGUACGACACCUAUUGUGCAACCACUGAUCAUUUGGGUUUUACCGAGCUCCACGUGGCCAAGUACGAUUAUAGCGAGCCUUAUGAUGGCCGGUUAUGUUUUUACCGAGUCUAUUUCAGUCGUGUAUGAUAUGAUGAUGAUGAUAGCGGUAGGGGCAUAUGUUUUAAAAGUUUAUGUAUAAAUAUGUAUGUAUCAUGCAUGUCAUGUUAGUAUCCCUCAGAGGUACCCUGAUGUUACAAGUUGUAUAUUCUUUAUCCCUAUUUACAUUACUGUACAUAUUUAUGCUUUCCUACCUUUCAUACUUAGUACUUUAUUCGUAAUGACGUCCUUCUUUUUAUGGACACUGCAUCUUAUGCUACAGUCCUGAUAGAUGGGUAGACGUAGCUCCUGUCACACCUUCUUUUUGGCUACUACAACCCGGCGAAGGGCGUAGAUAAAGGGAGUAUUUUCAAUUAAAGGACAAUCGAAACGGGAUUCAAUUAUUUAAGAGAAUUUCAGAGUUGCCACUUGGAAGAUUAAUGGUGUCCCAAGUCACCGUUUAGAAUCGCGAAUCGAGGAAAUAAUGACUCUGUUUAACAGUCCGCGAAUCAAAAGUCCUGGUAAGGAAUUCUGUUAACUCGGGAGAAGAAGGUGUUAGGCAUUACUGGGUUCCAUGGUUCUAGCACGGUCGCUCAACUGUUAUAUUUGGCUUAAAUUAUCUAAUUUAAUACAAUUAUGGACCUAUGUGCAUUUUGAAUCUUUAACCACUUUUAUUUUUAAAGAAAAUUGCAACGUUGUUAAAACAUGUCGUGAACCACAUCACAUAAAUGCGUCCGCGGUUUUUGACACGUUCCAACUCCGUUGAGAGUUAGAUUUGGGUCACAUAAAUGCGCACCCAUAUUUAAGAAGAAAAAUUAUUAAAAUACACGCUUAAAGCAACUCACGCGUUAUUAACUUUGCGAGGGCCAUGAAAAUUUGAUAAACGGCACGCCUCGAAUUCUCAGUAUUUUAAAAGAAAUAAUUAUAUGAGGGCCACGCAUUUGUCAUUUUAUUUGGUGCCGCGCACCUCGACUUUAAUUCAAAGGAUUUUACUCAACUAAACCAAAUGGGUUACUCGAGAUCUAGCUGGCAAUCGAUUUUCACCGUGAGCUGGGGACUACACUUUACUAGGCCCAAAGUUCCUCAUGACAAGAAUUCAAUACAUAGGCAUAAUUUUAAAAAUGAAAAGAAAAAGGGAAACACCAAGCCUAAAAUAAAAAGAAACAUGUCACACAGAGUAACGAAAAAUAACAUUGUUCUACUUAACUCAUGAAUCUACCAAAAUGCCUUUUUCCCUUGCAUCCCGCCCCAGUUGAGGUUCACUUACCAGCAAAUCAUGUCCUAAUAAGUGAAGGGCAUAAAUAUGAAACUACAUACUCAUCCAAAUAUUAGUGAUGCACCCAUACAAGUGCCUACACGCUAUGACAAAAAUAAGAUAUUCCGAGGAAGGGUCAGUUUGGAAAUCUGAGUUACACCCCUUGAGAUUCAAUAAACAUAAAAAUUAGAAGAUGUAGAUUGUAGCAAUCCAAGUUCAAAACAACAAUAAUAUGAAAACACGACUCAACUGCCUUUCUAUCAAGUCCAAGCACAUAAUCACAGCCAUGGAAAUAGUUGAGGGCAAAACUACCACAGAAUUAUCUUUUCAUUCAGCUGUUAAAAGAUCACAUGUUCCAAAGAAGAGUUCAAAGAAUCGCUUGUGUAAAGAUCCUUUAUACCAAUAAUCCAACAUUGUCAGAGAUUACCCCUCUAAAUUUUAACGUUCAGGAGUGUUAGAUAAAUCACAGCCGACAAAUCUCAGAUGCUUAGUUUGUUAAAAUCCAUAGUUAUAUGAUUCUGUAUUAAACAUGAUAACAAUUUGGCUAUUCAUACGCUUUAAGCUAACUUAAGGGUAAAAUGUAUAUGAUUUGAACACAAAUAGACCUCGCAAACAACUCAACAUUCAGAUAUGCAAACCCAUCUGUAGCAUCCCUCUGGGAGGUCGUGCAUCAAUUAAGAGAAUUUGUUCAAUAUGUAAUUUUACAACGCUGAGUAAACAAAACACUUAAGAUUGUUUAGGCCUAUGUCGUCGAGCUUUAUCACGUUCAGCUUGUUAUCAUUCCACACAAGAAACAGUCAAAGUUAACCCAAGUAUAAUUAAGAUGUUCAUCCAGCAAUCCAUCUCCGAACUCAUCUCCUCGUUAAACUGACUUAUCUAUCUCUUUCGCCAGUCGACACAGAUUCAUAAACAGGGAUUCGACCAUAUACUCAUAUGUUUUCAAACAAGAUGCCAGUAAAAGAAACACUUACCCUAAUCUCAAUCUCGUAACUCAGUCGCUAACUCGGGCUAAACACUGCCAUCUUCUAUACAACAAAACCAAGAUAAAACGACACGCCUUAAAUAUCGAUUAAAACAAAGCAGUUAACCAUUUAGUCAGGGAAUGAAGUCCGAUCCUUUAUGCUUCAACAGGACAACCGAUUCAAGAAAAGCUAACAGAUACCAGCUGCUUUCAAGGGAAGCAAAAUACACACUAAUAAGUUUUAUGUUAAAUGCUGUUUUAAGAGGUUCAACAAAUAGAAAUGACCAAUGGAGACAUGAACCUCACUUGUCAUCUCAAAUUAUAAGACAUAAGGAUCGCAUACAUUUGAGUAGAACUUUAGUAGCUCUAGACAAGCAAGAACAGAGCAAAUAGUUACAAAAACCAGGGAAAAAGAAGAUUAAACAAUUCUUUGAAUUCUAGCCUAAUGAAAGAAAAAUUAUGAUAAACACAAUGAUCUCAUGGGAGCAGAUCAUUUAGAGUCCAGAAAACACACACAAUGAGAAAUAACCUCACAGUUUCAUGCUCGCUUAGCAAUCACAGAAGUUGAACACAUUGUUUAUUUGAAAGCAACAAAAACUUGACUCAAAUGAAACUCCACAUCACAAUAACAGUUAAAUCAUAGAAAAGCGACCACUCAAAACCAACUUCUACUAACUGAAAAUAUUCAAAUUCAUCAUACUGCUGAGAAGCACUUCAACCACAAAAUAAUCACGCCCAAAACCAAACAUCAAUCUGAACAAAAUCUCACUGCUCAAAUAUACUUUAUAACAUAUAUGCGAAAUAGAAAGAAAUCGAACCUGUAAUUCAAAUCCUUUUAAUAACUAUGUUCACGACAAUACACCUUUUGAUUCCGAAUCCAAUCGAGGUUCAGUAGCGACUCAGCGGAACAACAAUAGAAACAGCUCGAACUUCAAUUUGUAUCCCCCAGGAACUCAAAUCUGUAUUCAAAAGAAGAAGCAAAUUUGUAUCUAUGUUUUCUUAAACUUUAAAUGACCUCGUUCAAGAAAAUCAACCCGGAAAAACCCCUUUUUGUUCCCAGAAAACCUUUCGACCUCUUUUUCUCUAAAUUUUUUUCAGCCCCCCCUAACAAAAUAUGAUCGAGCUUCUUUUUGGAUAUGAAUUCCUGAUGAAUGUGGGGCUUGGAUUGAGUGAAAUCAAUCCAAUGCCUCACACUCAUCUAGCAAAUCCUUUCCAGAAGCUUCUAAUCAAAGAUAAGGCUCAAUCCAGCGAGUAGGAGGAAUCUUCCACCAGAAACUGUUAGAAAUAGCAAGAUGAGAGAAUGAGGGACGCGUGGUUAUGGGUUUGAGAUUCACUCGCCUGAAUUUGGACUGAAUUAGAGCUGAUUCGGGUGUGUUUUGUGGAGAAGAGGAAUAGUCACGCGGUGUUCUCUG
rnacentral:lncRNA from 1 species